UACGUAGGGUGCAAGCGUUGUCCGGAAUUACUGGGCGUAAAGCGCACGUAGGCGGCUUUGUAAGUAAGAGGUGAAAGCCCAGAGCUCAACUCUGGAAUUGCCUUUUAGACUGCAUCGCUUGAAUCAUGGAGAGGUCAGUGGAAUUCCGAGUGUAGAGGUGAAAUUCGUAGAUAUUCGGAAGAACACCAGUGGCGAAGGCGGCUGACUGGACAUGUAUUGACGCUGAGGUGCGAAAGCGUGGGGAGCAAACAGG
rnacentral:rRNA from 1 species